UCAUUCGCAGUUCUCCUUUUAACCUGUAAAUGGAUCACAAUAAAACCAGAUGAUAAUGUAGGCAAAAAAGAACACCAUAUGAAAGUGAAGGCACUUGGAAUGUUCUCCACUGGUUACUUCAAACAAAUAAAAUUUAAUGACUAUGUGAUGUAGAACCAUAAAGAAGAAAUGAAUUAUCAAAUUCUAUUAAUUCUAAAUUGUCAAUAUAAACGAUACUAAGCUCUCUAAUAAAAUACCUAGAUGACGUAUUUAUAGUAUAAUAUUAAUCCUACUACUACUAGGAUUAAGAAUUUUAAAAUAAGAAAAUAUUAAUCCAAUCUAACAAGGAAUAUAUAACCAACACUAAUUAGGAAAUUCUAAACAAUAAAAUUCCCAAAUAACUAAAAUACUACUUCCUAAUUAAAUUUCCUAAAUAAUAGAAAUCUAAACUUCCUAAUUAUAUUAGAAAAUCUGAAUUAAAGCUCUUAAAUUCACAAUUAAAAAUUAAAUUAAAAUAAUUCCUAAAUCUGGUCUUCCUUGACUAUAUCAUUCUCCUUCAAAUGAAGACAACUUGAUCUUGAGUUUUACGUACUAAAGAACCAUGUUUCCAAAAAAAAAAGUACUAAAGAAUCAAGAACUGAAUUUGUAGAACAACUCUAUCUUCUUGGAUGGUAG
rnacentral:misc_RNA from 1 species